GACGAACGCUGGCGGCGUGCCUAACACAUGCAAGUCGAACGGAAAGGCCCUGCUUUUGUGGGGUGCUCGAGUGGCGAACGGGUGAGUAACACGUGAGUAACCUGCCCUUGACUUUGGGAUAACUUCAGGAAACUGGGGCUAAUACCGGAUAGGAGCUCCUGCUGCAUGGUGGGGGUUGGAAAGUUUCGGCGGUUGUGGCUAGACUCGCGGCUUAUCAGCUUGUUGGUGGGGUAGUGGCAUACCAAGGCUUUGACGGGUAGCCCGCCUGAGAGGGCGACCGGGCACAAUGGGACUGAGAUACGGAGCAGUCUCGUACCGGAGGCAGCGGUGGGGAGUAUUGCGCAGUGGGCCGGAGCGUGAUGUGGCAGCCCCGCGUGCGGAAUGACGGCCUUCGGGUUGUGAACCGCUUUCGCCUGAGACGAAGCGUGCGUGACGGUACUGGGUAAAGAAGCACCGGCUAACUACGUG
rnacentral:rRNA from 1 species